GGGCCAAGGUGAUUCCCUUCAGCAACCUGAGCUGCAGUCGGUUGGCUCCUGGGCAGAAUUAGCGAGAGGUUAAGAGAGUUAUUUCUACUUGGUGACUAACCCCAUUUGAUUGUCUUAAGUGCGUCUGGCUUCUGGAGCGUGCUUUUAUUUCAGAUGAUUAUGAAUGUUCCGAGUGGACUCCUUGCCGCCCACCUGGCUUAAGGACUGUAAGGCACUUCGGAAAUCAAAUUUCAGGAAAGAAGAUUGGUUUGAGAAACAAUGAACGAGGAGAAAUCUUCUCUUUGCAGAGCUGCUGUGUGUCAAAGUUUAUCCUCAUUAUAUUAUGUUUCCUCUUUUGAAGGCCCACUGAGAUGAGUUUCUGCUAAUUCUCUUACAUAAAGUAGGAUGUGGAGGUCUCCGAUUCCUGCUCAGGGCUGGGAAUGGCCGCGUUCUGCAGGCUGGUGCCUCGCUGGAGCUCCAGAAAGAGCAUGUCUCCAAUGUCGAGCGCAGGUACUUCGUAUUUGUCUAUAAAAUAAGAGUGAUGAAUGAAGCAAUUGAGAAAAUAGGUAAUUUCAGCAAAUUCUGGCACCCGAUUAUUCAUUCACUUCCCAAGCUUCGGGCUUUAAGAAAAGUUGGGGGGGACUCUACAACUCAUUUUUCUCUUUAUCCUGAAUAGUUUCAAAACCACAGUCUUUUUUUUUUUUUUUUGUAUGGUUGACACAUCAUGUUACAGGGAGUUUUGGGUGUACGAUUUAACGGUUCUACAAGUUUAUACGUGAUGCUGGGCUCAGGGCAAGGGCAGUUGCCUCUGUCCCCUUGCGUCCCGAUUACG
rnacentral:lncRNA from 1 species